GGACUAAAAAACCCUUAGGAUAGUAUAGAUUGAUACAUAGGGAUCGGCUGUUUGUGAGACAGGGUCAAAAUCAGACCUCUGGCCACUAAAAUGAUGGCCUAGGGCAAAAUAGAGUUUCAUUUGAAGAUCGGAGGUUAAGAUUUGAGAGCUAGCUUUAAGUUCUUUUUAGAGACAUCAGAAUUGUUUUGAGAGGAUUUUAGAGGACUUAGAAAUUGUUGUUCAAAAUCAAGGAUUGCAUUAGUGAUUUGGGUUUUAUAUAAUAUAACUAGAGCUAGCAAUUUUGGCUAGUUCGUACAAAUGGCAUGACAUCUAUAGUUGAAAAUUUGAUAUUUUUUGGAUUAUUAGGUAUUCUAAGUGUAUAAAAAAAUUUGAAUUAAUCUAAUGACGCAAUUUGGAGAUAUCUAGUUUCUAACACAAGAGGAUUCCA
rnacentral:lncRNA from 1 species